UACGUAGGUGGCAAGCGUUGUCCGGAUUUACUGGGCGUAAAGAGCGCGCAGGCGGUCGUGCAAGUCGCGUGUGAAAGCCCCCGGCUCAACCGGGGAGGGUCACGCGAUACUGCUCGACUUGAAGGCAGGAGAGGGAAGUGGAAUUCCCGGUGUAGUGGUGAAAUGCGUAGAUAUCCGGAGGAACACCAGUGGCGAAAGCGGCCACCUGGACUGCACCUGACGCUGACACGCGAAAGCUAGGGGAGCGAACGGG
rnacentral:rRNA from 1 species